CACACUGCACGCAGCACACAGGAGCACAAGAAAGAGCAGGAAACAGAGUGGACAGAAAAGGACAAUUAUUUAGUUACUAUAGGUUAAGGAUCUUUUCCUCCUUAAGUGUAGCCCUGAUACAUGUCCAGAGGAAGAAGCAGACACACAGGCUACAUUGGCAUUUUUGAUGAGUCGUUACACACAGUCUGUCACAUCAGAACGGCUUUUCAAAACAAGUGUUCGACAAUAAGACAAGACGAAUUUGGAAAUGGUGAAGGGAAAAUGAUGUAUUAUCUGAUACAAAAUCGGGGAUGAUUAACGGGUAACAUGCACACUAAUGUUCUAGAUACUGGUUCAACUGUCUGAUCAUAAGUGUGCAUUUCAGAGGGUGCUGUAUAGUUGCCUUCUCUGACAGGACAGAGGCAAAGAAAAUCUCUAUAAAACCAGUGAAGUAAUAAACCAACAACCUUUAGAAAGUGGUGGUGAUUUAAUUAACGGACUCCGUGAGCUGAAUUACACAACACUUCUAAGUUUAAACCUGCUCAGAGGAGAAGGGGGUGGGAGAUGGGGGAAGGAUUGUGGGAGGAGGUGACCGGGAAGAGGGUAGUGCCUGGGAUGUAAAGUGAAUAAGUAAUAAAAUAAAAUUAAAUUAAAAAAAUGGUAGCAAUCACAAAAACUUGUCUGAAACAAGAUACAGGGAAAAUAUUCUCUCAGAUGAUAAUUGAAAAGAUAUGCAAGGAGUUAAUAUUAUUAUCCAAGAAGAUGUUCAUACACAUUUGAUGUAAGACAUUGGCUUGUCUACAUUACAUAAUCAUUUUUUGGGAUAUAAAAUGGUGUGAUCCUUACAACCGUGGUAUGAAUUAAGAGCCAUGUUUUGUAGAUGAGACAAGGAAUGUCAGGUAAAGAGCUUCUGUCAAGGUUGGGAAGGUUGAGAUAGUGUGGGUCAGAACCUACAACCUCUACUGGAGAGGUUUCCCAAUUGCCCGAGGGCUGUGCUUGGAAGAACUUCUGAUUUGUGCAUUGAGAAAUCACCUGCACUUACUUUCCCAUGCCGAGUAUGGUAAAUUCAUUUAUUUUCAGCCUGCAAAUAACUCAAAAUAAAAGUCUGAGCAUUUGCUCCCAUUUCUUCAGAACCCCGGUGCUGUGAUCUUCGUUUCUUAGCGCAAACUCAUGUAAAUGGGUCACAUCCCUACUGUAUGACCAAAAGUCACUAUUUUGAAACACAGUGAAAGAAAAAGCGUUCUAAGUACAGUCUAUUUUCGAAGACUAUCAUUGAGUUGAACAACAAUUAAAAAAUUGCAGUAAUGAUUUUGAGAAACUGCCAGGCAAUAUUAAUAAAUUUAAAUGCAUGAAUACGUGAUGAUGCAGAUACCCAUUCUCAGGUAGCCACAAUAGGUGUGCUUAAAUAUAUUCACCAAAAGGGAUGCAAUACAUUUUGGCUAUUUAACUACAGCUGGAAAUUCCCACACACCUAUCAAUUGUAGUGUAAACAGAAGCCUUGUAGUACGGUCACAUGGUGCAAUGUGGCUACAUAGUAGCAGCUCAUUGUAACUGUGCUUGACAAUGUGGAUGGGCUUCCUAUGAGUAAUGCCAUGUGUUAUAAACAGGACACAGAAGAGCAUUUUCUAUCAAGUUGGGAAAAUGGGAAAAUACUCUGUUCUGCCAACAGGUAGCAAAGCAGUUUCCCCUGGUGGGAUAGUAAGGGAGAGAGGAUACUCAAGAAGCCAUAUUUUGUUUAUCUGAGUGCCAGUUAAUCGAGGCUGCUCAGUUCUCUUAGGAAAUGGACUCAUCGCUACCUGCACAUUAUACUUCAGUGAGAUAUUCAGGAAGUGAGAUGAAAAAUUAGAAAGAGAUACAGUAGAACCCAAGGGAUUACAUUUUCUUUUCUUUUUUUCUUAAUUCUUUUUUUUCAAGUAGGAUUCUUUGCCUGAAUGUUUACCUACAUGGCUUGUGUUGAUUUAACGGAUACAUCUGUGGAAAUUUGUGCUAAGCAUCUCAGCAUCUUACAGACAAUUGCCAUCUCACUGUCUUGAAAUUUUAGUGUUUGGGGUUGUUGACAUAAAGUUUUUGGGGGUGACUAAAAUAACCAAUGAAACACAGACAUCUUGCUAUUAUUAGCAAGUUUGCUUGUUGGAGACAGAGUCUCACCAUUGCACCACAAGCUGUCCUUGAGUGUGUGGCGAUUGCCAGAGUCAGUCUCCUAAGUGCUGAGGUUACAGGGUAGACUUACUAACGUUGUUUCUGUGGUAGUGAGGCCCAACGAUCCUCAGCUGAUGGGAAAAUUUAGUUGGCUAUUUUAAUUAAAUGGUUUCCAUAGAGGUGUGGUGCAUAUAUGAGAUCAGGAUUCUGAAAGACUUUUGUACAACUAGAUAUAACGGAUAAUGUAAGUCCAUUCAACUUUAGUGGGUAAAAAUACCCCCACUACAAUACACCACAUAUAACCUGUUAAAUGCAUUAACCACUGGGGGAAUGGAAAAAUUAAAGGCUUACUUUUACAAUACGACCUAGUUUCUUGAUCAUUUUCUAUCAAAUUGAGCUUAAUGGCGAGUUCUUGGUUCCAUGUUCUCUUGUAAAAGAAGUCUUGUAAGUGAGACACAGAGAAGGGCCAGGGGACAUCUAUUCCAGAGCUGAGAUUAGUUAACAAUCAACAUGGAGACAGAGUGUCAGUUGUACUACUGCUGUGUUUGUUUUAUUAUGUCUUUUUUUUUUAGGGAUUACAAUUAUGGCAUUUCCCCCUUUCCUUUCCUUUCCUUUCCUUUCCUUUCCUUUCCUUUCCUUUCCUUUCCUUUCCUUCCCUUCCCUUCCCUUCCCUUUCCCUUCCCCUUCCCCUUCCCCUUCCCUUUCCCUUUCCCUUUCCCUUCCCUUCCCUUUUCCUUCCCUUCCCUUUUCCUUCCCUUCCCUUCCCUUCCCUUCCCUUCCCUUCCCUUCCCUUCCCUUUUCCUUCCCUUUCCCUUUCCCUUCCCUUUCCAUUCCUUUCCUUUCCUCUGUCCAUAUCUUUCAUACACCCUUCCUUGGUCUCUUUGAAAUCCAUGGCCUCUUCUUUCAUUAAUUGUUGUUACACAAAUAAAUGAAUAUGUAUGCAUAUACAUAUGCAUCUAUGUAUAUAUAUAUACAUGUGUAUAUAUACACAUAUUCAUAUGUAUAUGUGCAUGUAUAUAUGUAUACACAUAAAGGUGUGUAUGUGUAUUAUGUAGACAUGUAUAUGAUGUGUAUGUAUAUACAUAUAUUUCCUCUCUUUAUUAAUCAUUUUGUUUGUUUACAUUUCAAAUGAUAUCCCCCUUCCUGGUUUUCCCUCCACAAACCUCCAUCUCAUUCCCUCCUCCCCAUGCAUCUGUAGACACCAAACCCCAACACUCUUGCUGAUGCCAAGAAGUGCUUGCUGACAGAAGCCUGGCAUGGCUGUUCCCUGAGAGGUUCUACCAGCACCUGACUAAGACAGAUGCAGAUACUCAUAGCCAACCAUCAGAAUGAGCCUGGGGACUCCAAUGGAAGAGCUAGGGGGAAGGACUGAAGGAGCUGAAGGGGAUUGCAACCCCAUAGGAAGAACGUAUUUCCUAAAUAGAGCCUGCUCAGUCUGUAUAUGCUACUCGUAUGUGUGCUUUCCACAUAAUCCUGUAUUCUCAGUAACUUCUUCUUGCCCUUGAGUUCCACUAAUUGAUUCUAGCCAUUGAAAUUCAAGUCCCCAUUCAUAUGCCCCAGUACCCGAUGUUCCUGUAUUUAAAGUCCAAAUCACAGAGUAUAAAAUAAAAUAGUCGCCUUCAGGGUUCCCUGUGGAUCCAAAUGAACCAAUUCCAUAGCAUGUGUAGCUGUGAAGGACAAGUUAAUAGAACACAAAUGAAAACCAAACUUAUGUUUACUGGGCGAUUGUGGUAGCGUAGGCAGGCCAACAAAUCUGAACUUUGGUCUAGGGUUGAAAGUACAAAGCCUACACAGCUCUCUACGUGGGGAGUAUUCAGUUUGUAUUGUUUAGACCAGGACAAUUAUCAGUCCUUUGACUCUUUCUAAAAACAGCCCGGAAAAUUUCAGCUGACCAAAGGUAGACUAGCACCGAACUUACAUUUUCAAAGUGCUGUUUUAAAAUAUCAGUCCUGAAAGAGUGAGCGUGUCAACCAGCAAUCACUUCUCCGUUCAUGCUUUUCAGUUCCUGUAUAAUUUCUAUUUUAGUAAUGGAUGCAGUAAAUAACACUUUGCGUUAUGACAUCUUCAUGCAUGCAUAUUUAGUGUUUGGCUCAUGCUCGGCUUUCCAGGAUGCUCUUUUGUUCCCUCUCGCCCAUCCCACGACUCCUGUUUUCUCCUUAAUGGUCCUUUUCAUUUCUUUAUAUUCAUGAUAUACAUAUAUUUAUCGAUUCAUUUAUUUAAAUAUAGGCUCUGCUUGCAGUAUGGCUUAUGUGCUUAGCUGGAGGAUUUCUAGUCACAUCUAUUUUUCUACAAAUGAUAUAAUUUUGAUUUUCAUGGCUGAACAAACCACUGUGUGCAUACAUGUAUGUGUGUGUGUGUGUGUGUGUGUGUGUGUGUGUGUACCUAUAUGUAUAUAUAUAUCAUAUAUCACAUCUUCCCUACUCAUUCAUCUGUUGAUGGGUACUAGAUUGACUCUUUAUCUUGGCUAUUUUAAAUAGUGCUGCAACAAACACGGACGUGUGCAAACAACUCUGUGGUACGUUGAUUUAGAUACCUUCUGAUAUAUAUAUAUUCAUGGGUGGGUCAGUGCAUCAUUUGCUGGUUCUCCUUUCUCCAUUUGAGAAUCCUUUCUUUUAAGAUCUAUGCUCCUAUUUCAAUGUUAGGUGGUAUUAACCAAUUUUCAAUUAAGGAAGGCAAAUAAAAUAGCCUACUCAAGUCUCAUCUUUGCUUUCUUUCAUCCUGCCAACUUUUUUAUAUCUCAGCUUUUGGUUAUUAGUGCUUACAUUCUUAUAACCAUGCCGGCACUGUUUCUAGUUUGCCAAUGAAAAAAAAUGUCAGUGCACUUCAGUUUUGUGUAUGUGUAUGUUGAGCUAGGGAGUAUCUAGUCUGACAAACUGUUAAAUGCUAUAACUGUUUUUUCUUUCCUAUUUAUAUAUGCAUAGGUAUAUAUAUAUAUGUGUGUGUGUGUGUGUGUGUGUGUGUGUGUGUGUGUGUUGAUUUAUUUGCAGUUAUCAUUGGUUUUCUUUUCCUUUUUUGAUUUUCUCUUAUUAACUAUUAUAAAGUUAUGGCAUUCCUGAUCUUUUCCAAAGAAACAGAACAUCCCUGGGAUCAAAGCCAUCACAGAGUCUCUCAGUUCCACACUUCCAUUUGCUCUACCCUUUCAGUACUGCCCAUUAGCCCACUUGGAUCCUGCUCACUCUGCUGGUACCUCUCCACCUCAUUUGUGAAGAUGCUCCAUUAGACCACAUGUAGGCAAGCAUACAGGGCUUGAUUAAUGAUUGCUAUGGAAGUGGCCAGCCCACUGUGGGCGAUGCUGUCCCUGGGCAGCUGGUCCUGGGAGGCCUAAGAAAGCAGGCUGGGUGAGCUAAGGGAACAGUCCAGUAGUUGGUAUCCAUCAUGCCUCUGCUUCAGUACCCGACCCCAGGUUCCUGUCCUGCCUUGCCUAGAUGGUAGACUCUGACAGGGACAUGAGAGCCAAAUAAAACCUUUCUUCCCCAAGUUACUUUUGGUCAUGGUGCUCUAUCACAGCAAAAGAAAGCAAACUAGGGCAGUAGGUAAAUUUGGGGGCUCUUGAAUGCUUCUGAACAUCUUUGUACUGUUCUCAUACUCCAUGAAUGGUUUGGCUUGGUAUAGAAUGGUAGGUUGCAAGUACCUUUUCUUCCUAAUCAGUUUGUUUUUAUGAGUUCUAAGUGUUGAGUUUCUAGCGAAAUAUCCAGUGUCCGUUGAUUUUUUUUUAAGAUUUAUUUAUUUAUUUCAUUUAUGUGGGUACACUGUCACUGUCUUCAGACACAUCAGAACAGGACAUCGAAUGCCCAUUACAGAUGGUUGGGAGCCACCAUGUGGUUACUGGGAAUUGAGCUCAGGACCUCUAGAAGAGCAGUCAGUGCUCUUCACCGGUGAGUCAUCUCUUCAGCCUGUCUAUUGCUUCAUUAGCCUUUGGAUAUGCUCAGCUCAGAAAACAUACAGGAGGCAUGAUUUGUGCAAGCAUUCUGAUGUCUCUCUGUGGUAAUCUUAGUAGGAGGGCUUUGGUUCAUAAUGCAGGCAUUUUUGGGUCAUUUAUGGCAGCUACUCCUGCCCUCCAGUUCUAGAGAGUCAUAGUACACUAUUUCCAUGGUAAAAACCCUCUUGUUAAUUUCUCUGGACUCUGGUUGAGAUAUCCGUGAUAGUUAGGUCUUGCACUUCAAAAUAAACAAAGAAACAAAGAAACAAAGAAACAAACAAGUCCUUCUGAAUUAUUUUCUCUUUCUUUCUUUCUUUCUUUCUUUCUUUCUUUCUUUCUUUCUUUUUCUUUCUUUCUUUCCUUUCUAUUUACUUCCCAAGAUGCUGUUACAACCUGGUAUUUCCUUCUAUUUUCUUUUCUGCUUUCUUACUUUUCCAUCUAUCCCAUCUCUGAAUCUGCUCUCUGUGUCUGAAGCAUGAGGGACAGUGCAUCAACUUGUAUGACCCAGGCUGUGCAUACUGAUUAGCUGCUUUUCUUUAUGGUGGCUGAGGAACCAAUCAAGUUAUUUCACCAGAUAAAGUUAAAGCAUAAAUAUGUAGCUUGGUUUCUUUGGGAUUUGAUUGCUUCUUAAGGGAGGCAGGAUAAUCUUCCAGCCCACCUUCUCACUGGUCUGUCAGGGCUGGUUUUACAAAAGUUCAGUGAAUUGUUGAUUUUGCUGUUAGCAUUACUCCACACUGAACUGGCACAAUGUCUUCAGAGUCAGUUUUUAUUAUGAAUCGCUCAUACAUUUGUUUAUGUCUACCCAAAAGUUCAGUAACGCCCGUGGAGGGCACCGUGUUGAAUUUUGAGUCCUAACCCUGAUUGGUUCCAAGACACAGCAAUUUUGAAGAAGUGGGGGCAGAAAGAGUGAGAUACCAACUAACACAGGUAGGUAUCUCAACCAGAGGAUUGGGAAGAUGCUGUGUAAUGUCCUCAGGACAUGACAUGACCACUACAUUUAUGACCUCACAGCAGCAACAUAUGAUUAUAUGGAGAAGACCAAACCACUUAAAAAUUCCAGCAGACAAUCUUAUCCAUUUUCUUUGGGUGGAUGGUGCCAUGAUCCCACUGGAUGACCCAAUGCUCAGGUAGAUAUGGGUAUCACUUACUGGACUUAGAGGGUUGUAGAAAACCCAGUUGAGAGGGAGAUGUAUUGGUUGGGGCAAGGCGGAGUAGAAAGAAGGAAGUUGGGGUAGAUCCAAUCAAGGUACUUUGUAUACAUGUAUGAAAAUUUCCAAAAUUGGAUUUGGACUCAAAAAGCCAGGAUUUAGACCUAGCUCUGAGUAGGUUGUCUUGAUGAUCAAAUGGAAUAAUGUGCUGGAAGCACUCUGCAAACUAAAAGAGACUUGGCGAGUCUUAGGCAUUAUUAAUAAAACUUGUGACAUUUGGGCAGGUAUUUGGAAUGUUACUCAGAGCUGAUGUCUUUUCCCAGACUGCUCCACUUGAAAAGUUAAUUUAAAUGAAUCCGGCAAAGAUAUUGACACAGCUAAAUUUGCUUUGAGCUUCUAGGAUUUUAAACGGGUUUCUUUUUCUUCCCCCUCUAAAUCCUCGAGAUGCUGGUUAAUUUAGUUCUUUCGCAACCAAAUGACAAGGCAAUUUUAACAUCUCACUUGCGGCCAUGGUGGCAAGAGUAUGGCUCAGACUUAAGACAAUGAUAUUGCCUUUGGCCUUUAUGCUUUCUAUAUUCAGCCAGGUUUACGGGGUAAGAAAUGAAAGGAUCAGCAGACGAAGCUUGCUUUUCAACGUGCUCUCGUCUUCAAAUAUUCACAUCUCAAUUAAAAAAUAGAUUUCUACAAUAUCUAACUAAAACCCCCGGAUUCUGUUCAAAGACCACAUAAGGGAGAUGCAAUGAUCAAAUAAAUAUCAUGUUAUUCUUAAGCAGCUUAAUUGAAUAAUUUCAUCAGAAUGAGUGGGCAGCCACUUCCUAAAUUAGCAAACUCAAUUUGUGGUUCCUGAAACUAAAGCAUAGAUUUUUUUAAGGAAUUCUUAAACAUUUGAAGUCUUACGGUUUAUGCUCAAACAAUGCGGGAUUUUAAGGAGAGUUAAUAUCUGGGAGAUGGUUUAUUGGUUCAAUGCAUUAAUAGGGCUUGUUGCUCAGGGGGAUUCUGGGAUCCCCUUGAAUAAAUUGCAUGUUCAUGGGUUGGAGAAGUAUUCUAGGGCAAAGGAAAGUUGAGGAAGAAGAGAAAAACAAAAACAAAAACAAAAAAGCUGUAGGUAUCUGAAAAGCACAUGCACUUCAGUAUAGAGUGCUCACAGAUGCAAAGUGGUGAGUAUCCUACCUACUGCAGUGUACGCUCUGACACUAUGCUGACUGUGGUUUGGUUUCAGACUUUUAAAUCCUGGAGAUUUGACCCAGGGCCUUAUACAGGCUACAGAAGCUCUUGACAUUGAACUACCUUCCCAGCUCCUGUCAAAAAAGGGUAUAUCUGUGUACCAUGUGUGUGCCUGGUACCUGCAGAGGCCAGAGGAAGCUAGAACUACAGAUAGACGUGAACCAUCAUGGGGCUGCUGGGAAUUGAACCAGGGUCCUCUGGAAUAACAGUCGGCUAUCUUUACUGCUCAGCCAUAUUUCCAACCCUGAUUUAUUUAUCUUUUGACUUGCUUUUGUUCUAUUUUGAGACAGGUUUUCUCUGUGAGGUCCUAGCUGUCCUGGAACUCACUAUGUAGACAGAGCUGGCCUUGAACUCACAAAGAUCUGCCUGCCCCUGAGUCCUGGGAUUAAAAGCAUGUUGGCCUUUAUUUAUUUUUUAAAUGCUUACAAAUAUAGUGAUAGUCAAUGGUUUGCCUUGGAAUUCAUGUCCAAUGGUUCAUCUCUUGCAAACAGAUGUAAAAUAACACUAUGUUUGAAACUAAUGUCCUUAUUUAGUCUCUAGAUACAGAUUUCCUUCAGGAUAUAUAUAAGCCACAGUUUCCUUUCUAGCAUCAUUUCUGUUGGAUGUACUGCAUGCCAGAGACACAGGCAAAAGGUAUGGAACAGGAAAUAGUGGAUGCAACUGAGUUUAGCCAAUCAAACCUGAGAUCUAAAUUAAAGCAAUGUGCUUGCUGUAUUGGCUUGGUUAGGGUUUUAUUGCUGCGAACAGAUACCAUGACCAAGACAACUCUUUUUUCAUUUCUUUUUUUUUUUCUUUCUUUUUCUUUUUUUCGGAGCUGGGGACCGAACCCAGGGCCUUGGGCUUGCUAGGCAAGCACUCUACCACUGAGCUAAAUCUCCGACCCCGACCAAGGCAACUCUUAAAAGGACAAUAUUUAAUUGGAGUUGGCUUACAGGUUUAGAGAUUCACUUUAUUAUUAUUAAGGCGGGAACAUGGCAGCAUCCAGGUAGGCAUGGUACAAGAGAAGCUGAGGGUUUUACAUCUUUAUCAGAAGGCUGCUAAGAGAAUAUGGCUUUCAGGCAGCUAGGAUGAGGGCCUUAAAGUCCAUGCCCACAGUGACACACCUACUCGAACAGGGUCACACCUUCUAAUAGUGCCACUCCCUGGGCUGAGCGUAUACAAACCAUCACAUACAUCUCCAUGGAAACAGUUCCCCUAGUGUUUCAUAUAUACAUCCCAGCAUCCCCAGGUUCGAGCCUUGGAGGUUCAGCUAUUUGUCGGGCAGGGAGAUAACUUUAGGUUGUAGGACUGUUACGUUCUUUGCACAACAAUAACAGAAGAAACAAAAGCGAACGGCAAAAAAAAAGAGACAUAUUUUAGAAAAAUGUUAACACAAGUCCCGAGCUGUUGAAAAAAAAAGAAAUACUAACACAAAACCCAUGUAUUAAAUACUAGCUUCAAACAAUAUACUUAUUAUGUAAUAUUCUCAAACACUGAUGCACUUCAGGCCUUCUCCCUGCAUAGCAUUAAAAGCAAGUCUACAGACACAAGCCUCAACAUUCUAAACACGUGUGUUCUUCACAACAGUAAUACAUAACGGGCUAGAGACAGUCACAGGAUGCCAGGGAUGAUACUGUACCCUGCACCAUCACUUAAUGACCAAUUACGCCUCGUACAGUGAUUCAUAAAAUGCAUGAGGUCCUUCCAGGAGUGACAGGACUGAUGACCUCUACACAGCAUUGGCGGUGCUGGUUAAUGACUCAAUCAGGCAUAGGCCAUUAUCCAGAAAACAUGCGUUGUUGUUGUUGUUUGGGAAAGGGGCAACACCUGCCCAAAUUCAAGACAGUUCAUUAAAGUUGGACUUUUUUUUUUUUUCUUUUAGGACGAAAUAGUAAAUAGCCCUCGGAUGCGAUGAAGCAAAGUGAUUGGAAAACGACACGAGAAGCAGUUCUGGAGGCAGAUGUUGCCGUCUGCCCACUAUGCUGACAGCCAAGUAAGAAGCUGGCCAUGUUUUCUAUAAAACAACCAAAGCAAACCACCACUACCACCACUACCAACAGUAGCAGCAGCAGCAGCAGCAGCAGCAACAACAACAACAACAAAAACAACAUCAUCAUCAACAACAACAACAAAAUACUUGCUGGCACUCUCCCAAGAAGCAGUUACUACAAAUGAAAGACAGACAUGCUUGGUUUGCAGGAAACAUCUGAGCUGUGGUUAACCCUCUUCGUUCUCUGCUGGAAGCAGCACAGGAAACUGUUAAAACAGUGAUAGGAAAUCAACCUACAUUUAGCAUCAACUAUAGAUACAAGAUUAUUAGCAGGCUGGCAUUUUCUGCUGCACUGAGACGCGCUUGAAGGCUGAAGAAAAAAAAAUAUAGCCCUGUUAUGACUGGUUUUAAAAAGUAGUCACCCAGGAAUCCAAAAAUAGCCACCAUUUGAAGUUGAGACUGCCUGACACAUCAGGUUCAUUACUGUGAUCUAAGUACCAGCCUUUGAUGCUAUUUGCAAUUCUCCAGUAGGCCAUUAAGAAAAGCUGGAUAAAAAAGGAUGGCUGUGAUACCAGUCUUGGCCAUGCUUCAAGUAUCUCCCUGCUCAUGUUGUAGAAGGAGGCACUCAUGUUGGGAUAUAGAAAAUUCAUAAGGAAGCCAACCCAGGUAGUUACUACAAAUUUGCUUCAUCGGAGGCAGGACUGUAGGGAUUAGCCAAAGCUGUAGGAAGGUUUUCAGAGCCGAGUGUUAGGAGUGGAUCUAGUUGAACAUGUAGGGAUAAAGAAGGGUUUUACAGUUCUAGAUAUAAUCUUACCAAUUUUCAAAGGAAGCCCUCAAAACUGAGCAAAAUAUUUAAAACAGUGAUAAAAGGAAAGGUCUGAUUUUCUAAAAAUGCAGUUGUUUUUCCUAGAAUGUUAAAUAUUUACAAUAUGUUUUCCAAACACAAGUGUACAGUGUAUGCUGUCUUUAAUUAAUUGAGGGUUGGUGGUUCAGAAAGAGGAAUGAAUGCCAGUCUCUAGAAUCAGCUUACGGGACCUCUCCCAAAUAGUAUCCCAAUGGUAAAUAAGGAUUAGUACUAUGUAAGGUCUGAGCAUGGUCAUAGCUUCUGUUUGCUUCCAAUGGGAAGUGUCCUCACUGUGGUGUGUUUUAGUUGGCUUUGAAUUGCGCUGACAAACACUGACCACAAACAUCUUGGAGAAUAAAUGGUUUGCUUUGUAUUAUUACUCCCAGCUCACAAUCCAUCACUGAGGGACUCAAAGCAGGCACAGAGGUAAGAAUCAGGGAAGAACUAUGCUUUCUAGCUUGCUUUCUUACUCAGUCUUAGCUUGCUUUCCUAUAUAGUCCAGGGCCACCUGCCCAGGGGUAGCAUCUUCUACAGUGGGCUGGGGCCUCCUGUAUCAAACAUUGGUUAAGAUAAUGCCCUACAGACUGUCAUAGGUCAACCUGAUUGAGAUGAUCCCCAAUAGACACUGUCAGCUAACAUGGCUGUGUCAAGUUCGUAGCUAAAGCUAUGUGUGCCUAGAGGAAACAUUUCCCACUUACAAGGCAUAACAGGAGAGCUGCCAUCCUUUGCACAUUCUAUUCUUAAAUGUUCAAGAUUUCAAAACAAAUAUUUGGCAUAUUCAGAGUUCUCAAUCUUUCAAACAUAUGAAGUAUUAAUAAGUCUUGGUGUAUUUCAGAGUCUUUCAUGCUCAAAACACACAUCACAGAGAGAUGAAAAAGGUGUAAUAUCCCCUUUUGCAUUUAGUAGUGUAGAUUUGGUUGAACAAGGGGACAAUCGACCUGACGUCAUCAUUCUUAGCAGUUUAUACAGCAUUUUCAUGGACCCCCAAAGAGAUCUAGGAAGGGUCUCAACGAUAAUGGGGUAUAGCUUUUGCCAUUACUAGGUGACAUUUGAUUUCUCUGUGUGGGAUAAAUUCAAGGAUCUAAUACCAAUAAGCCACAUUUGAAUAUAUUUCACUAUUACGUCAAUUAGGUUGAAACACAGCUGUCACAUAGACAUUAAACAAAAUACUGAAAGCCAUGCAAAAUUACCUUUACUGCAAGUAGAUAUUUGAUCUAUGCUGUAAUGGAUAGUUACAUUAUGUAUUUAUCCACGCCAACUUACAAAGCUGUUAGUUUUCUAGUUGUAAAAUGCCCACUUAAACAAAAGUCCCCCAAAAGUUAACAAAAACUGAAUUAUGCAGACAUUAAAUGUACAAGGUCACUAUUGAUAGGCAAGUAAGGUGAUGGAGAACAGAAGAUUACUUUCUGAGAAAGACCUCCAAAGGUCUGAAGCAGACACAGAAAGAUUAAAAGGCUACUAUGUGUUGAUGCAUCCAUGACUGGAAAGAGUUACCAAGAUGCAGUAAGCAUUUGGGAAAGAAUUUUCUUUCUAACUUGAAGAGCAGAAAUACAUGGGCAUUGCCUUUGGAACUGGAACACAACCAACUUUUAAUUGGUUUUAAGAUCUGGAUUGGAACAUUCUUGCAGUCAUCCAUGAACUGACCUUAAACUGUAAAAGUUGGGUGAAUCUUGGCCAACCACCUGCCUUGUGAGUUGUUCUCUUUGGGUUGUUCAUGGCACAGAGAGCCCUCUUUGGCAAGUAGUUUCCCAUCAAGUGAACAUCUGUCCUAACCUUGUUUGAGUAAGAAUUCAGAGUGAGAAAGAUGCCCUCUUGAGGGGCGGGCAUCAAAUGUUUAAUACCUUGCUUUCCUCCAUGCCUCAGCAUGAUGGUUUUGUAGAUGAGAGAAGUUGGUAUUUGUCAUGCUUGUAGAGAGGGGAACUCUACUCCUGAAAAGCACUCUGCUGCUCUCACCAUAGGGAGCAAGAUGAAGGGGUGAGAUCAAGGAGAUUACUCAACAAUUCCUCACUCCCCAAACAAGAGGGUAAACUACCCUGUAAAUUAAACCCGACUCUCAGCUUGGAAAUAAUUGGAGUGAACCUCACCAAGAACUUCCAGCAUUUUGGAUCUGAAUGGUUGCCUAGCAAGUGAGAAGGGCAAAAGGGCAGGAAAAGCAAAUUUAGCUGUCUAAUAAUAGCUUUGAUAUGCAGGGUUUUCAGUUUUAUGAUAUGGUGUUAAAUAUUGUUACUGAGAGAUGCUAAGUCUCAACUCCACAGGACUCUACAACACUUUCAUCAGGAGACAUCAUUUCAAAUGUUCUCUCAAUAGAAUAGAGUCCCUCCUAGAAGUACAGAAGCCAGGGGCAACACAGAAACACACUAUUGGUUUUGGAGCUAUAGGGUAGAGAUAGGAGAAAUCUUAUUUCGGAGUGUAGAGCUCAUAGUUAGAUUUAAAGUUUCCAGAGCAUAAGGCACACUUGUGCUGUCAUUGUAUGCUAAAGGGUAGAAAUAAUGCAUUGAUGACCAUUUGGAUCAUAUGAAGGUAACCUGGUGGCAUAUUGUCAAGCUAAUCAGCAGAGGCACACAUGCAUAUACAUGCACACAUCACACCACACACACACACACACACACACACACACACACACACACACACACACACACAGAGGGAAGGGGGAGAGAAAGAGAGAACACAGUCCAUAGUAAGUAGUUCCUUGAUGUUCCCUUCUAAUAUCUGCUGAAUGUUGCAAGAGAGAGAGAAGAAAAUGCAGUACCAUCAAUCCCGGACUUUGAUACUCACCUAU